CGACUGAUGGUGUCUGCGGUUUGGAGACAGAAAGGGAUGAGCUCUCGUCAAAACCGUCGCUGUAAAGAGAAGGAGAGCUGUGCUCACGUGAUUGUUGGAUAAGUAAGGAGACCCUGCUGCUUGAGCUUAAACAUGAGAGACGCCUACACAACCGCAACAAAAAUAGAGAUGCUAUUACAAGUUUCUUGGCUGACUGAUGCACCACGAGGGUAGCUAAUUGGGUCAGCACAGAUUUUCAUCCAAACCUCCUACAAUGGGCUCUGAGGGGGAGCAGCUUGGUCUCAGAAAUCAGCUGUCUUAAUUUACCAUCUGGGGCUCUUCCUUCCAGAUUAGGCUGCUAUUGUUGAUGACGGGUUUGCUACCGUGGGGCUGGGUGAUCCGGAUGCUGCUAUCGAUGUGUUAUCCCUAGCAUCAAGAGAUGGUUCUUCUAGAACAUCAGCCGGCGGUAGGUCUCAAUCUCCAUCUCCAGGCGAGCCUUGACGCCCAGCAGCCGCUGGUGGUCCGCAUUCUGGCGCUCCGCGUCAGCCCGCACCUGUUGGAGUUGCUCCUCCAGGCUGCCGAUCAGCUGCUGCACCUGAGACAGUUGGCAGCAGUACCCACCCUCGGUUUCAGCCAGCGAGCCUUCCAGGGACGACUUCUGCAAAUGGGAGAUAGACAGAAUUGUCUGGGGAUCAGAGAACAAGAUGGGCAGCCCAUGGUCCAGCAUACGGUGGGUGCAACAUCUUUUUUUUUGGAAGUUAAAGGAUGCAUCAUCUCUCUCUGCAUGUCACGCUACCAUGGCGAGCUGGGACUGGAGUUCAAUCUCUAGGUUCUGCACCAUGCGCUUCAGGUCGGUGACCUCGCUCUUGCUGGACUGAAGCUGCUCCGUGUUGCUGCUGAUCUCUUUUCGGAGCUCUCUGCUCUGCAACAGCAAAGUAGGUGGAUGGGGUGAGCUCUGCGCUGGCUCAAAGGGCUUUCUGGGAAUGCAUCAAAUCUCGCGGUGUUACCUUUUCAAGAAACCAGGCCUCUGCAUCUUUCCGAUUUUGCUCAGCCAUGGCUUCAUACUGGGCUCUCAUUUCAUUGAGGACCUUGGUGAGAUCCACUCCAGGGGCCGCGUCCAUUUCUACAUUGACCUCACCUGGACCACCUGCCUGGAAACUUUGGAGUUCCUAGAGACAGCAAUGGAGAGAGAAAGACACAGGAGUACAUGUGGCUAGUGAGUCCCCCAGGUACGUUUGCCUUCUUGGGUCUCUUCAUGCAUGAUAAUAAUAAAAAAUAUAUUUUUGAGUGAGUUGGUAUAAAGGCAAAAUAUUAGCGCAAGGCAUCCACACAUUUUUCUUUAAGCUUGAAAACCUGUUUCUCUCAUAAUUAAAAAAAACUAAAACCAAAAACCAAGAUAUUUUCUCAGGUUUCUUGAGUGAUCAGGGGCUCCACGUUCUGUGCCUGUGGUUGCUGGCUCUGCUUCUAGAACAUCCACUUCCUAUAGUUUACAGAAAGGAAAGAGACCUGGUGUGCAGAUUGCUGCUACAGAGCUAGUGCCACAAGUGGCACCUGGGGUCAUACACUAUUUCACACCAUAGUCAUUGAGAACCCAACAGAAAGUUUCUUAGAAGCCCAUUGCCAGUGGUCGUUCUUCCUGUCCAUGCCCCGGCCUCUGAUACACACAUCAGAUCUCCAUAUGUCUUAUAUUGGUUACACUUCUCUAACAUAUGUGGCUGGUAUAUGUGUCAGCUGUAGACUUUUGUUUUCAUUUUUGAAACACUCCGUAUUUAAAGAAAACAUUUGACGAAGGUAAUUAAAAUUCCUGCCAUUACUUAAUGAUGGAAAUAGUAAAACCAGAAUAUUCCCCGCUAUCCCAAGUCUAAUACUCGAAUCCAUUAAGCCUUAAUAAAAAAUACCAUGACACAUACACAAGAGGGUGAGGUGGGGUGGGGGUGGGGGGCACACAUAGAGGAACACCAAAAUGAAUAGUCACUGUAACACAGAGAUAAUAUAUUCUCUAGCUUUGUUAAUUCAAAGUUUCAAUUUUUGGGUCUGGGAGGAAAAAAAAUAAAGCUAUUUCUGACCUCUUCGUGGUUCUUCUUCAUGUAAGCCAGCUCCUCAGUGAGGGUCUCAAGCUGGGCUUCCAGGUCGGCUCUAGUCAGGGUCAGCUCGUCCAGCACCCUUCGCAGCCCGUUGAUGUCGGCCUCCACGGUCUGGCGCAGGGCCAGCUCAUUCUCAUACCUGGAACCCAAGUGCCGACAGUUUAGGAAGUCAACAUUAACACAACCAUUGCGAUGGAUCCUGGACAUCUUCUGGGCUAUGUGGCCCAUGUCUGUAAUCCUAGUACUUGAGAAGUAGAGCCAUGAGUUCAAGGUCAUCCUCCACUAUAUAGUGAGUUCAAGGCAGCCCUAGGGAAGAGGAGGAGGAGGGGGAGGAAGAAGAAGGAGAAGGAGGAAGAAGAGAAGGAAGAAGAGGAGGAAGAGGGGAGGGAGAGAAGAAAACACUGCGCUAACAGUAUAUUAUGCCGAUUUUUUAUUUUGUGACUUUUCCUCUGUGUGUGAGUAUGAUUGCUUACUCCUCAUUUGGAGACAAGAGAAGAAAGAUGAAGAAAUGAUGAACCGAGAACUUCCUACCAGCAGUGAUCCUUGCAUCCCAGGAAGAAGGCUCCCUAACCAGAAAGAAGACCUCCAUCAUUGCCAGAAAAGAUACACAGAGAGCCACCGCCCGAGCUUCCAGCUAUCCCCAUCCCUAUCCCCAUUCCUCCCGCGCCACCUCUCAGAGGUCCCCCAUAGGCAGAGCCAAGCCCCGGCAAGCAACCUGCAGAGCCACCGCUAAAGCCAGAACUAGAACCAAACAUGGAAGCAGCAGAAAAGAGGCCUCCACAGCCAACUCCAAAGCCAGAGGCCGAUCCCCCAUAGCCGCCGGCAACACUAGAAGCAGAUGCACCCCAAGGUCUGCCUGCCGCCCCAUUCUGUGAGGAAGACCUCCUGGACAGCGCAGAGGUGCAGACUGAAAGCGACAUGCUGUUGCUGGAGAGGUGGUGACCCAAGAGAGACCGCAGUGCUGACACCAGAAGAGUGACGACUGGAGCAUUAAGGAAUCCUUCCGAAGCCCCAUGCUUCCUGAAGCUCUGUCUUCCCCUCCCCUGUCUAUUUCUUUCGGUUCAGUAUAAGCCAACCAACCAUGCUGUGGUUCUCUCUGUAGGGACAGUUUCAGAGGCAGAUGAAGAGCGCAUUCCUGGAAGGUGAGAAACAGAGGUGUUUUCCAAGAGGACAUUAGAAUCUGAGCUUGCAAGGCUCUGAGAGCAUCUGCUGUAAGGAGUUGUGUGGUUCUUGCUUUUCUGAAAAUGGAACACUUAAACAUGGGAGCCAGCUGUUUGGAAGUCGAACAUUUAUAGUUAACAAAAGAUUGGCAUUCUCAGUGAACCAUGACGCUGGGCUCUGGGCUGAAUGCUUAUUGCUAUUUCUUCAAUGGCAUUACCUGUGAGAAUUUUGUAGUAAAUCUGUUGGCUGAAUGGAUAGUAUAUCACCUACAGUGUUCCACCAUUAACAAAAUACAUACACACACACAUACACACACGCAAACACUGUCCAAAAUAAGAAAUGAUUAAAACUCCAUGCUUCAGAAGCCAGAGAGUCAUUUCGGUGGAUGGAGAGGAAUGCAUUUUUGCAUCACAGAACAGCCAAUGGGAGGCUGUCUUAUUAAAUUCCUGUGAAUUCUUUGGGAAGCAUGAUCCUGAGAAUUUUAUCCAGGGGUCAGAGAGAUGGCUCAGUACUUAGGAACACUUGCUUCUUCCAGAGGACCCAGGUCCAAACCACCCCCCACCUCCAAUGACAAUCAAUCUAAUGGCUCUGGUGUACAGGUUCCCACAGCAGAGCCUUUAAUAGUAGCUCCAUAUUUCCUGGGCGCCCUGGUCCCAGAGAAUGCUUCUUUCUCUGGCCUUUAUGCCAUGAGAGUUGGUCUCAAGGUCAGUACUUGCUUUGCAGUGAUAGAGCGCGGAUUCUUCCUCGUUCAGCAAGAGCAACACUCACCUCGUCCAGGUAGUGUUGGCCCUUAUUCAGCCUCCCCAGAGGCGAAAUCUUAAAUCUGGAGUCGUACCAAGCCAGAGUGAGAGCUGCCUAUUGGGCACUCGGGAGCACAUGCAGAAGGUCACAGCUGAGCUUCAUGGCAGGCCUCCGUAAGAAAUACCCAGGACAGGGGCUGGAGAGAUGGCACUGACUGCUCUUCCUGAGGUCCUGAGUUCAAUUCCCAGCAACCACAUGGUGGCUCAUAACCAUCUAUAAUGGGGUCCCAUGCCCUCUUCUGGUGUGUCUGGAAACAGCUACAGUGUACUCGCAUAAAAUAAUCUAAAAAAAGGAAGAAAGAAAGAAGGAAAGAAAACCCAGGAUCAAACAGACUGGCAGCUUUUCAAAUCACUUUCCCAGGGUCAGGAACACUGAACCCGGAGUGACAGCUACUGACAACUCCCCUUAACCUUGUUAAAUAAGGAACAUGUGCAAGGGACACAUUCUCCUCCCAACCUAUACAGUCACAAAGAAAGAGCAGGGCUUCAAAGCAAGAGGUUUGCAGAAAUGAUACAUUUAUACUGUAAAUAUAUGCCUGGGAAGCACCAGCAAUCUCUGGCAGACAAGGUUUGACGACACAGUCUGCAAUCCACUUGCCUCAUUUGUAAGGAGCAUGGGAAGUUGUGAACUGAGAUGCCAAGACCCACAGUUACAGAUGGAGGCUCCACUAAGGGUUCCUCUAAUCUAUGGGCUGAGCUCGUCCUUGUUUGAACUGACAUCAGUUCCCAUGUUCCUGCUGUCAUCCAAGACACUGGAUCAAGCGAGUCGCAGACCUUGUGUUUCAGAGAGCUCCUAUGAUGUUGCUUUUAUCUCCUUUUACAACAGAACCAUCUCAGAGUCAGGACAUUGACUUAUUUAAGGCAGAGAGAGAAAUCAGCUCUUUAGUAUAGUCUACAGACAGCGCAACCCUGAUGCUUCUCUUGGUGAAAUACAAAGGACACCAGGUGACUGUGACCUCCUUAACUGUGAGAUUGAAGUUCUCACCCACACACCAACCAGAAACUCUGACUCUGUCCUUCCUGGAACUUCUCGGGGGCACAGCCUAAGACCACAAAAUGAUUUUCUGUGGCCUAUGAAAAAUGACACCCUGUGAGACUCUGCCAAUGCUAAGGCAGAUGUGUCUUUAGUUUGGGUUUUGUCCUCUGGCCUCAUCUCCAGACAUAUGACAAAGCAUAAGUGAGUGACAUUGUGGUUGUUUCCUGUGACUCACAAGCAACACUCUCGCAAGGCAGAGUGGCUCCAUUUUACCACCAUAGAAACAAACAGGGGCUGUUGCUUGCUACAGCGUCAACAAGGAUGUGCCCUAAACACAACAUCCACUUAGCAGUUACAAGCAGCUAAUAACGUAAUGUGAAUAGCAUGUAUUUUUGAACUCGGAGUCAAUUUUGUCCUGAAAUGCAUGUUUUACAUCCUUAAUGCUUAUAUGUAUAUAUUUAUGUAUAUUUAAUUUAAUUUUAAUUUUCUUGACCGGGCUUCACUGUGUAGCCUUGGCUGUCCUGUAGAUCUCUGUAGAUCAGGCUGGUCCUGAACUCUCUGAGAUCUGUCUGCCUUUACCUUCCAAGGAUUAGGACUAAAGGCAUGUGCCAACACUGCCUGGCUGUAUAUUUUAAGUAAAUUUGCUUCAUAGCCUGCAUUAGGCUUUUAUAAUAGGCAUUUAUGUUUCUACACGGGUAUGCUCCUGAACUGUAGGCUUCUAAAGUAGAGGUGUCUAACUGAUGUUUUACCCUGAGUCCCAGCCCAUUCUUUGACUAAAAACCUUCAUUUUAUACCCAGAGUUGUUUUGCUUGAAAGAAUUUAUUUGUAAUUUGCUUAAAUGUGUCACUGAAAAUGCACCUCAAAAUCAUCACGCCCCACUCUCUGGGAUGCUUGAUUAAGUCUUAUUCUGAACUCAUGUAUAAGGGGAUAACUUGGAAGCUGGAAAGAGAUGUCUUUCUUUUUCAAUGACUAUUUGGAAAGGCUGGAUGCGGUGUUCAUUGCCUGCUCCCUCCACCCUGCCCCCUGCUCGCCGUGGCCUGUUAGCUUAGUUGGUUGGAGGAAGGCUGGUGCUAGUCAUUGCCUCCUGCCAUUGAGGUUUUAGAGGUGAACAUAAUUUUAUUUGACAGCCAUGUAAGUGGUUUAAAAGGCGGAGAUGUUUCAAGCAAGAACAAUCCUGGACUUGUUUGUGAUUGCAUAAGUUGAGGCACAGAGAGAGAGGACAAGGGUUAGCGUGAAUUGCUAACAAGAAUUAAGGUUCUGCUGGGUAUGGUGGCUGAUGUUCCUAUUAAUAUCACUUGAGAAGCUGAGGCAGGAGGAUCAUUAAGUUUGAAGUCAGCCUGGGAUACACAGGAGAUUGAGAGACAUGGAGUGGAAGGGACAGGAAGACAGACAGACAGACAGAUACACACAUACACACAGAGGGAGGGGAGAGGGAGAGACAGAGGGAGAGAUAGAGAUAGAAUAUUAAGUCUUUUUGAUUAGAUAGGUGUACAGCACCUGCCUAGCAUGCAUAAGACCAUAGGUUGGGUCCUUAGCACUGCAAAAAUG
rnacentral:lncRNA from 1 species